rnacentral:lncRNA from 1 species
UUUUGUCUGGUUUUAGUAGACUAGUACUAUUAUUUAAGUUUUCAGUCUUGCACAAUAUCUAUAAGUUAGUAAUAUGUACUUAAAUAAAAAAUAUAAGCAUCAAACAUUUAACAAGUUCAAAUUAUCAAUAAUCAAGGUUAUAAAAGUCCAAAUUAACAAAUAAAAUAUAAACGAAUGAGUCAUUGCCAAAAGUUAAUAGAAUCAAGCUACUCAACCCGCGUCGGUUAUUGUGUGGAUGACCGCACACUCAUAGUCGAGGCGUGGGCCCCCCAUGAAUAAAAUAAUCCUGACCCCUAUGUGUGUGUUGUGUCAACCGUGUGAUCAUCCUUGUGGGCAUUGUAGCUCGGUUGGGUUGAAGUUAAUAAUAUUGAGUUCAAUUUCAUCCUUUGUCCAAAUGUGGGAUGAUGUCCAUGUGCAAACAAGGAAAAGUGGCACUGUCUAAACGAGGAAUGGUGUGGGAUGAUGACGUCUGUGUGCAAACUGGGAAAAUUGGUGGUGGUACUACCUAUCUUCCUCUACCGUAGCACUGUGAAGGUGAGUUUUGAGAAAUUCAAAAAAUGAAGAAAUUCCAACAAAAGGGUUAGCUUUUGUUUAGAAAUUAUAUGUAUUUAUAAACAAACAAACAUCACUACCUCAGAAUUCAAAGUGUCCUCGGAGAUAAAUACAAUGAUGGAUUGGAAGGCGGCGUCGAUGACCAAGUGAGACGGUGAAUAUUGAGAGACAAAUUGGAAUUGGGAAUUUGGGUUUCUCUUAACCCUUUGGGCUGGACGGCUAUAGCUAUUAGAGAAAAAAAUUAAUGAGCUAGACACAUUUAAUUAGCUGUAAAAAAAAUAAUGGUUAUUGGACUAACUUCCAUUAAUAUAAAAUUAGAUUCAUAUAAAAAAUAAAAUUAUAAAUUAUGUUUGAUUUUUGGUUCUAGCAUUAGAACUGAACAGAAACUAGAACCAAAUGGUUCUCGGUUCAAAGAUCCAAAACCAUUAAUUUUUUUCGUAAAAUCGAACCGAACCACUCGGUUUGGUUUGCUUCCGAUUUGAUUUGGUUUGGUCUGGACAUUUUGUCCACCCCUAUUUAGAAUAGACUUGAGCAAUACCAACAUAAAUGAUGAGCUUGAGCAAUAAAAUCAAGCACGACAUUCAAAAGAAUCAAAGCCCUUGUUUGAGCCUCAUUCUUUGGGAAAAAUACAUUUUUCAACAGUGUUUUGACAUUAUUUCAAUCGUAC